UCUAAUAUGGCAGACCAGUGCAAUAGAUUUAAGCUCUAUAUAGAAAGAUUAUUCUUUUAUUAGAA
rnacentral:tRNA from 1 species